rnacentral:rRNA from 1 species
CUGGCUCAGGAUGAACGCUAGCUACAGGCUUAACACAUGCAAGUCGAGGGGCAGCAUUGGAGUAGCAAUACUCAGAUGGCGACCGGCGCACGGGUGAGUAACACGUAUCCAACCUGCCGCUUACUCGGGGAUAGCCUUUCGAAAGAAAGAUUAAUACCCGAUGGUAUAAAGAGUUCGCAUGUUCUCUUUAUUAAAGAAUUUCGGUAAGCGAUGGGGAUGCGUUCCAUUAGAUAGUUGCGGGGUAACGGCCCACCAAGUCUACGAUGGAUAGGGGUUCUGAGAGGAAGGUCCCCCACAUUGGAACUGAGACACGGUCCAAACUCCUACGGGAGGCAGCAGUGAGGAAUAUUGGUCAAUGGACGAGAGUCUGAACCAGCCAAAAGUAGCGUGAAGGAUGACUGCCCUAUGGGUUGUAAACUUCUUUUAUAAGGGAAUAAAGUGAGGGACGUGUCCCUUUUUGUAUGUACCUUAUGAAUAAGGAUCGGCUAACUCCGUGCCAGCCGCGGC